ACUCCUACGGGAGGCAGCAGUGGGGAAUAUUGCACAAUGGGCGCAAGCCUGAUGCAGCCAUGCCGCGUGUGUGAAGAAGGCCUUCGGGUUGUAAAGCACUUUCAGUUGUGAGGAAGGUGGUGUCGUUAAUAGCGGCAUCAUUUGACGUUAGCAACAGAAGAAGCACCGGCUAACUCCGUGCCAGCAGCCGCGGUAAUACGGAGGGUGCGAGCGUUAAUCGGAAUUACUGGGCGUAAAGCGCAUGCAGGUGGUUUGUUAAGUCAGAUGUGAAAGCCCGGGGCUCAACCUCGGAACUGCAUUUGAAACUGGCAGACUAGAGUACUGUAGAGGGGGUAGAA
rnacentral:rRNA from 1 species